rnacentral:rRNA from 1 species
AACGAACGCUGGCGGCGUGCUUAAUACAUGCAAGUCGAACGAGAAAAUCUGGCUUCGGUUGGAUGAGUAAAGUGGCGAACGGGUGAGUAACACGUGGACAAUCUGCCCUUAAGUCUGGGAUAAUCCUUCGAAAGGGGGUCUAAUACCGGAUGUGGCCGCAACCUGGCAUCAGGAGGCGGCUAAAGGUGGGGUAACCUGCCGCUUAUGGAUGAGUCCGCGCCCCAUUAGCUUGUUGGUAGGGUAACGGCCUACCAAGGCUGCGAUGGGUAGCCGGCCUGAGAGGGUGAUCGGCCACACUGGGACUGAGAUACGGCCCAGACUCCUACGGGAGGCAGCAGUAGGGAAUAUUGCGCAAUGGACGAAAGUCUGACGCAGCA